GAUGAACGCUGGCGGCGUGCCUAAUACAUGCAAGUCGAGCGAACGGACGAGAAGCUUGCUUCUCUGAUGUUAGCGGCGGACGGGUGAGUAACACGUGGAUAACCUACCUAUAAGACUGGGAUAACUUCGGGAAACCGUAGCUAAUACCGGAUAAUAUUUUGAACCGCAUGGUUCAAAAGUGAAAGACGGUCUUGCUGUCACUUAUAGAUGGAUCCGCGCUGCAUUAGCUAGUUGGUAAGGUAACGGCUUACCAAGGCAACGAUGCAUAGCCGACCUGAGAGGGUGAUCGGCCACACUGGAACUGAGACACGGUCCAGACUCCGACGGGAGGCAGCAGUAGGGAAUCUUCCGCAAUGGGCGAAAGCCUGACGGAGCAACGCCGCGUGAGUGAUGAAGGUCUUCGGAUCGUAAAACUCUGUUAUUAGGGAAGAACAUAUGUGUAAGUAACUGUGCACAUCUUGACGGUACCUAAUCAGAAAGCCACGGCUAACUACGU
rnacentral:rRNA from 1 species